UUUCCGUAGGUGAACCUGCGGAAGGAUCAUUCAUAAUAAAGUGUUUUAUGGCACUUUUUAAAAAUCCAUAUCCACCUUGUGUGCAAUGUUAGGUCUCGUCAAUCUUGGCGAGAUUUUUAUACAUCAACUCAUUCUUUAACUAAUUUGUCUGAAAAAUAUUAUGAAUACUUAAUUCAAAAUACAACUUUCAACAACGGAUCUCUUGGCUCUC
rnacentral:misc_RNA from 1 species